CCUUCUCAUAAUGAUCAUUUCAGGUACAUGAUUGUCAUCUUCAAAUGUGGAGAGCAUAAUCUUUGAAUCUUGACUGCAUUAGCUACAUACCUUCUUCACCUUAGAAAUAUACCAGCAACAACAAAAGCUUUUCAAUAAUGAAUAUCACUCCAACUUCCUCCAUCAUGUCUUUGCUUUUCAAUAACAUGAAGC